UUUUACAGGUGGCCUCUGCCUUCCCUGACCUAAGUGUGUAUUAAGUUCCUCUCCUUGGUGCUUCCCUAGCAUGGAACUUUCUCUACCAUCAUCUCCAUCACUCUUUUUUUUUUUUUUUUUUUUUUUUUAGACAAAGUUUUACUCUCGCGGGCCAGGCUGGAGUGCAGUGGUGCAAUCUUGGCUUACUACAACCUCCGCCUCCCAGGUUCAAGAAACUCUCCUGCUGUAGCCUUCUAAGAAUCUGGGAUUACAGGCACCUGCCUCCACACCCGGGCUUCCAUCUCAAGGUUACUUCAUGGCCCAAGACUUCUGUUGGAGCUCCAGCUGUUACAGCAGCAUCUCAGGGCUCUUCCCCACCCACUCUACGGGGCUGCUCUGUCCAUUCUCCAAGUCUCCACGUAAACGCCACUUCUCCUGGAACACCUUCACUGGUAUCUUGGACUGGAAGUUCUCAACCAGGAGGAACACACUCGCUUGCCCUCCUCAAUUCAGCCUUGGGAGAUAUUUUGCAAUAUCUGGAGAUGGUUUUGGUUGUUACAACUGGGAAUAGAAAAGAAGCUUGGGAUUCAGACAAAGUAAUUUUGAGUGUGACAACACAUUUAUCGCUUCUUAUAGCAUCAUUUUUCAAGUAUGACUACUGGAUUCCUUUGUUGCCACUCAAAAAUGAACCGCUGUCAAACUGGGUUAAUGCUGCCAAUGUCAAGCUGGUUUUGGGGCGCCAGAUGUGUUCUCUUCCAAUAAAGUUUAGGAUGUUGCCAUAUAAAGCUGCUCUUUCUACACUGCCUGAUAUUUCAUCAUUAUCCUCCUCACUUCAAAAUCCGGGAAAGUGUCUGGUGGACCCUGAUAUAUCAGCAAAUCUGGUGAUUUACUUCCUGGGAUUAAAAUUUCAACAUAUACAUUUUGGAUAGAUGUGAAGAUUCAAUCUGUAACACCAGAAGAGAGAAAAACAGAAAGAAAAAGAGAAAACAAACCACAAGAUGAGCCCAUGACAGAAGACAUUUGUAGCAGGCACUGCAAUAUGCCACCAAAUCCCUUUUCAACAAAGGACCUGCUGCAGCCAUUGAGGAUGUUGAUGGUUACAGCUUACAGAUAGCAAGCUCUUUAGAGGUUACCUUGCCUGCAGAAAGAGGCAAUCUUUAAUCAAAGACAUCAAUGCAGAAAUAAAGGUGUAGGUUUCCAGCUAACUCA
rnacentral:lncRNA from 13 species